UUUGCCGCAUUGUGUGAGACAUUAGUAAAUGAUUUUGGGUUACAAGUCCCGCAACGUCCACAUGGCUUAGCUGUUGAAGAAAGCGUUGCGAUGUUUAUCCAUGUGUUGAAAGGGAAGCAAAAUCGGGAAAUCCAAGAACGGUUCCAACAUUCCGGGGAGACUGUGUCGAGGCACGUGCAUAACGUAUUAACUUCCAUGAAAGAGUUCACUGUUGUUCAUUGCCGGCCCACAUACAGUCAGCAUCGUAUACAUCCAUACGUGCGGUCUAGACGGAAAUACCUACCGUUCAAGGACUGCAUUGGCGCAAUAGACGGAACACAUGUCAGUGCAUGGGUUACGGGGCCAGAUGCGGCAACAUAUUUCGGUAGGAAAUACUGUCACACGCAAAAUAUAAUGGCCGCUGUCGAUUUUGACAUGUGUUUCAUAUUCAUUUCUUGCGGAUGAGAAGGAAGUAUGCAUGAUAGUCGCAUAUUCAACGAGAUACUAACAAAUGACAAUGUCUCCUUCCCACAUCCUGACGAAGGCAAAUAUUAUCUUGUCGAUUCUGACUAUGCAAACCGGAUUGGUUACUUAGCACCAUUCAAAGGCCACCGUUACCACCAACAAGAAUUCUGGCGUAUUGCAC